GCAAACUUGGUCAUUUAGAGGAAGUAAAAGUCGUAACAAGGUCUCCGUUGGUGAACCAGCGGAGGGAUCAUUACAGAGUUGCAAGACUCGCCAAACCCCGUGUGAACAUACCCGAUAGUUGCCUCGGCGGGCGGCCCCAGGGCGGGGCCACCGGAAGGACCACGCCCGCCGGCGGUCUUGAUCAUAAACACUUUUUGUCGUUUUUCAGCCUCUGAAGGACCGGGAAAAACCAAUCAAAACUUUCAACAACGGAUCUCUUGGCUCUGGCAUCGAUGAAGAACGCAGC
rnacentral:misc_RNA from 1 species